rnacentral:rRNA from 1 species
UACGGAGGGUGCAAGCGUUAUCCGGAUUUACUGGGCGUAAAGUGUGCGCAGGCGGCCGAGCAAGUCGAGUGUGAAAGCCCCGAGCUUAACUUGGGAACUGCGCUUGAAACUACGGAACUCGAGUAUGGCAGAGGAAGGUGGAAUUCCACGUGUAGCGGUGAAAUGCGUAGAGAUGUGGAGGAACACCGAUGGCGAAGGCAGCCUUCUGGGCCAAUACUGACGCUCAUGCACGAAAGCGUGGGGAGCAAACAGG